rnacentral:rRNA from 1 species
AAGUGGAGCAAUCCAUGAGUACAGUGGCGUACGGGUGAGUAACACGUGGGUGAUCUACCUUUUAGUGGGGAAUAACCCUGGGAAACCGGGGCUAAUACCGCAUAAUCCCGAGAGGGGAAAGCAGCAAUGCGCUGAAAGAGGAGCCCGCGGCCGAUUAGCUAGUUGGUAGGGUAAAGGCCUACCAAGGCAGAGAUCGGUAGCCGGCCUGAGAGGGCACACGGCCACACUGGCACUGAAACACGGGCCAGACUCCUACGGGAGGCAGCAGUGGGGAAUCUUGCACAAUGGGGGCAACCCUGAUGCAGCGACGCCGCGUGAGCGAUGAAGCCCUUCGGGGUGUAAAGCUCUUUCGGCAGGGAAGAUGAUGACGGUACCUGCAGAAGCAGCUGCGGCUAACUACGUGCCAGCAGCCGCGGUAAUACGUAGGCAGCGAGCGUUGUUCGGAGUUACUGGGCGUAAAGGGUGUGUAGGCGGUUCUUUAAGUUUGGUGUGAAAUCUCCCGGCUCAACCGGGAGGGUGCGCCGAAGACUGAGGGACUAGAGUGCGGGAGAGGAAAGUGGAAUUCCUGGUGUAGCGGUGAAAUGCGUAGAUAUCAGGAGGAACACCGGUGGUGUAGACGGCUUUCUGGACCGUAACUGACGCUGAGACACGAAAGCGUGGGUAGCAAACAGGAUUAGAUACCCUGGUAGUCCACGCCCUAAACGAUGCA